AGGCUUUGAUCCUGGCUCAGAACGAACGCUGGUGGCAUGCCUAAUACAUGCAAGUCGAACGAGAAAGUCCUUCGGGAUGAGUACAGUGGCGCACGGGUGAGUAACGCGUAGGUGACGUACCUAUUAGUGGGGGACAACACCGGGAAACCGGUGCUAAUACCGCAUAUUCUGGACGAUAUUGAAAUAGUUCAGCAAAGGGGGCUUCGGCUCUCGCUAGUAGAUUGGCCUGCGUAGCAUUAGCUUGAUGGUGGGGUAAUGGCCUACCAUGGCGACGAUGCUUAACUGGUCUGAGAGGAUGAUCAGUCACACUGGAACUGAGACACGGUCCAGACUCCUACGGGAGGCAGCAGUAGGGAAUAUUGCGCAAUGGGGGAAACCCUGACGCAGCAAUGCCACGUGAGUGAGGAAGGCCUUCGGGUUGUAAAGCUCUGUCCUAUAGGAAGAAAGGUAUUAAGGUUAAUACCCUUAG
rnacentral:rRNA from 1 species